rnacentral:rRNA from 1 species
UAACGAAUCUUCCGCAAUGCACGCAAGUGUGACGGAGCGACGCCGCGUGUGGGACGAAGCCCUUCGGGGUGUAAACCACUGUCAGGGGAAAGAAAGUUCUGAUCUACCCCAAAGGAAGGCACGGCUAACUCUGUGCCAGCAGCCGCGGUAAUACAGAGGUGCCGAGCGUUAGGCGGAAUCACUGGGCUUAAAGCGUGUGUAGGCGGACUUCUAAGUACCUUGUGAAAUCCCACGGCUCACCCGUGGAACUGCUGGGUAUACUGGUCGUCUUGAGCCACCUAGGGGCCAGCGGAACAAAUGGUGGAGCGGUGAAAUGCGUAGAUAUCAUUUGGAACGCCAACGGUGAAAACAGCUGGCUGGGGGUGUGCUGACGCUGAGACACGAAAGCCAGGGGAGCGAACGGGAUUAGAUACCCCCGUAGUCC